AAAAUAUUUGUGAAUAUCUCAUGAGUCAUGAGAGGAAAAUAGUUUCCAACUUUAUAGAUUGCUGACACCGGACGUCCGUACAUCCGAUGACAUGUUUGACUUUGGUCGAGAGUUUUUUCACUUUUACUGGGCAAAGUGGUUGAGAGUGAGGUGAAGAAUUUUUUUUCCACGCUUACAGUAUUUUCCUGCAAAAGAGAAGGUACGGAAACGAGCAAUUAUGCUUCAAGAGUUCGAGUUGUUUCGGUAAAUGAUUGAACGUUCUUUCCUGCCUGGUAUCUUCUUCUACCUUUCCAAGUCCCUUUAUGUUUCAAAUGGUCCUUCAAGUGAGGACAAACUUUUGAAUUUCUGAAAUUCUUUAACUCAUCUCUACCGGCGUUUUUGUUUUUUUAAUUUUUAAUUCUGAAUAUCCUUUCACUGCAACACUGUUAUUAGUUGCAACCCAACCUUGUUAAAUUGGCCCGAUUCAAAAUUUGAUGGCAUAUUAAAUUCCAAGUAAUCCACGAUUCAAUCCGAAUUUUAGUAUCAUGUUUAAUUCAGUGUUGUAAGCUUUGCUUAUUGUUACGCAUGGUACUAUCCGAACCAUCAGUUGUUGCCUCAAAUUUAACCAAUUGAUCUUACUAUGUUCCCCUGCUCCAUACCAACUGCUAGGACGCGCCACUUAAUAGUUGAAAAGUAUUGAAAGGGACUUGAGUGAGCUUGCGCCGAGCUUAUUACCUGUAGGGUUUGGUGAUUACGUCUCAGUAAUAGAUUGAUUGCAUAAUGGAUUAAAAUUUUAGAUCUUUACAAUUGUUGAAAUACUUUGCUACAAAUGGUUACGUUUUUUUUUUUUGUUUCUUGGUCUACAUAUUCUGGUUUCUGUUUCACUUGUGGACAGGGUUUCUAUUAGGAGUAUUUAAUUAUUGUUGAAAACUCUGAGUUGAGUUGAGUUGAAAACUCCCCUUUUGCUUCUUCUGGCUCAAGACCUUCUAUCCACUAGUGCAGUACUGGAAGUCCUAGUUUUAAAACUUGAGCAAGAAAUUGUCUCUCUGCAUUUCAAACUUAGUCGAGAGAGAAAUGAGCGGAGGCUUGUUGAAUAUCGUUUGAGGCGUUCAGCUUCUCAGUCCAUAGCUGUUUGCUCAGCAAAUAUGAAAGCAUAGAUUUCAUCUUCUUUGAGGCGUCCAAAGCAUUCCAAUUUUGCACUGCAUCACUCUGACAAGGAUAUCUCAUGUGAAGACCACCUUAUAGAAUCAACCAGUGAAACAGCUUAUAUACAGUCAGUUAUGGAGCAUGCAGUGAAGUCAACUGCACUUUUUCAUGAGAAUAUAUCUGUGAAGAUGGACACUGAACCUACUCAACUUGCAGAGCUCAAGAAGUUUUUAAAAGGAAUGACGCCUAAGGGCCUUUCAGAUUGCCCUAAUCAACUUUCAGAGAAAACGAGCCCCCAAGUUGAUAUACAGAGUAAUUCUGAAGUGUUGGCUUCAGAGAAUGUCUUCGAUCCCUAUAUAGUGCUUGGAAAGUUGAGUUGGCCAGACAUUGGAAACUAUGGUUUGGCAACUGGAGUUUCUUGGAUGUCAGUUGGGAAGAAGCAACUAGAGUAUGCCUCAGGGGCAUUAAGAAGGUUUCUCGUUGAGCAACAGUGAACCCUAUCCACUUGACAUGCAAUGAGAAGCUCUCUUUCUAGAUCAACUCGUCCAAUGCACUGAUAAUGCAUGCAUAGUUGGCAUAUGGAGUUCCAAGAAGUGAUUUGAAGCUCUUCUCAAUUCUCGCUGAUGCAAAAGGCUGCAUACACUGUCAGGGGGCAUUCUUUUAGUGCAGCUGCUGUUGAGUAUGUAAAUUUGAAGAUAAAACCACCUCUCCAUAGGCCGCAAAUCGUAUGACCUGUCUUAGUGAUGCCAAAUUGCCCACGGUUGUUCACUGUUUUGUCUGUUAUUGUAUGUCAUUCUGUGAUUAACACUGGUACUGAAUAAUAUUUUCAGGCUUUGCUUCUUGCCCUUUACAAGCUGAAGGUAUCAGGGGAACAACGAAAGUCUGCAAUAGAUACACAUGAAACACUCAGAGCAUUUGCUCUUAUCUGUGGUACUCAUCCCCUGCAGUAAUAGCACUUCUGUUAUGAUAUGCCAAAGGCUUUUAAAUUGUCUUGGAUAUUCAGAUGUACUGUAGAUGGUAUUCUAGCAGAAGAAAAAUGCAGGUAAGAGUCCACACUGCUAAGGAUGUGAGGGAGGAGCUUCAAGAAGCCAAGUAUGAUUUCAGAAGAGCUUCAGUUGGAGUUAGCAACAAAGGGAAGUUAUUGUUGCCAAAAAUGCUACACUUUGUGCCAAAGUUUUUGAUGAUGACUCAAAUUUGGCUGUUUGGAUAUCUCGUUACCUAUGGGGCGUGUUGAUUAAUGAGCAAGCUUUAGAAUUGUGGCGGGAAAUUCCGUUUGGGAUGGUGAGAAAUUGAUAUGGUUGCUGGAGGUUGUUAGCUCAGCGUGCAUGGGACGGACAUGUGUGUCAGCUGAAGAUUAGUAUUCUUGUAUAUUCUUGAUUGAUCUGUAAUUGCUAAUAAAUAGUAGAGAUCAAUUGUAUUCUGGAUUAUAUUGAAAUCUAUAAAAGUAAUAGUUGAGAGUGUUCUCUCUUUGUGGA